rnacentral:rRNA from 1 species
GACGAACGCUGGCGGCGUGCUUAACACAUGCAAGUCGAACGGAAAGGCCCUGCUUUUGUGGGGUGCUCGAGUGGCGAACGGGUGAGUAACACGUGAGUAACCUGCCCUGACUUUGGGAUAACUUCAGGAAACUGGGGCUAAUACCGGAUAGGAGCUCCUGCUGCAUGGUGGGGGUUGGAAAGUUUCGGCGGUUGGGGAUGGACUCGCGGCUUAUCAGCUUGUUGGUGGGGUAGUGGCUUACCAAGGCUUUGACGGGUAGCCGGCCUGAGAGGGUGACCGGCCACAUUGGGACUGAGAUACGGCCCAGACUCCUACGGGAGGCAGCAGUGGGGAAUAUUGCACAAUGGGCGGAAGCCUGAUGCAGCAACGCCGCGUGCGGGAUGACGGCCUUCGGGUUGUAAACCGCUUUCGCCUGUGACGAAGCGUGAGUGACGGUAAUGGGUAAAGAAGCACCGGCUAACUACGUG